UGCUCUGGUACUGCAAAGAGCACAUAGCCAACAGCAGAAGGGAUGAAAGACAAAGUCUUCUCCCUGGAGGUCCUUACAGACCAGCCGGGCAAUCAGAGCACUGCCUAGGCAUGGCAGGGUGCUGUAACAUCCUUGUUACAGCAGACGAUGGAGAGCCUGUGGCGUGGAGCUGGAGUGGACCUGCAUCAUCACAGCCUGCCCCUCAUCCGUGAGGGCCAGAGUAGGAAGGCAACUUUCUAAAGCCA